rnacentral:rRNA from 1 species
AGACGAAGGUGGCGAGCGUUACUCGGAUUUACUGGGCAUAAAGCGCGCGUAGGCGGCUCGAUCAGUCGGUGGUGAAAGCCCGCGGCUCAACCGCGGAACUGCCCCCGAUACUGUCGAGCUUGAGUGCAAGAGGGGUAACCGGAACUCCAGGUGUAGCGGUGAAAUGCGUAGAUAUCUGGAGGAACACCAGAGGCGAAGGCGGGUUACUGGACUGACACUGACGCUAAGGCGCGAAAGCUAGGGGAGCGAACAGAAUUAGAUACCCCAGUAGUCC